CAAAACUAGCGUGAUCUGUUCCUUCAUCUUCAUCAGAAUUCUCCUAAUUUUUCAACGCAGUAGCUUCAUAAAAAGUUAACGUGAUCUGCUCCUUCUUCAUCAAAAUUCUCAGCAUUUGCCAGGGUUCAACCCUGUGUCAUAACUGACCGAGACACGAAGUUAGAUGGCCAAGCUCGUGAGUCAGGGACCGAUCGAGAUCGAGACCAGCCAAGAUCGAGACCGAGCGGGAUAGAGAUUGAGCAAGAUCGAGGAAAGCCUGCCGAGCCAAAUAACGGAAAGCCAAGAUAUCCGCAAUCGAGCGAGGAUCACGACGGACAUCUCGGUAUGUAUCAAGAAGAGGCCGAUUAAUCAGCUAAUAAUGAGUUUCUUACCAUAUUUAGGAUUGUAUUAACAGUAGGACUCCCCUACUAUAUAAAAGGGGUCUGAUCAUUUGUAAAGGACAUCAUAUUCACGUUACAUAAAGUAGUAUACUAUCUUCUUCUUAA